GGUGGUCGUUGUCCUUGUUAGCAGCGGGAGAGAAGCAAGAUGAAUCCCCUCGGUUUCUGAUGUUCUGGGCCGCCACAGAUGUCGCUGCCAGAGAAGGGAGCUACGUCUCUGUGAUUCUAACUGUCGGGAGUGGUUUUGUGACUUUCGGACCACCGCUGAAGCUUCUGGCUGUUUCUGCCGUCGCCGAAAAAUUCUGCCGGUAAGGGUUUUAAUUAAGGUUUCUGUCUUUUUGGAUUUCUAGAAAGUUUUGAUGCUGCAUGGUUAUUAUAGUUGAUCUGCCAGAGCUUCUCGCCACUACUGGAGUUGUUGCCGGGUCGGUUCGGAAUCGCAGCUGCUUCAUUUUGUUAUUUCGAGCUGUUUAUGCUGCUGCGAAAAUGUGUGGGGCUGUGCUUUGAAGUUGCCAUUGGUUUUGGGUUGAGAUGAAAGGAUUUCUGAGAGGCGUUUGGAUUAUAGUUUCAAUUUGUUGAGGAUUUGGGCUCAGAAGU